rnacentral:rRNA from 1 species
UACGUAGGGGGCAAGCGUUGUCCGGAUUUAUUGGGCGUAAAGAGCGUGUAGGCGGCCAAGCAGGUCCGCUGUGAAAACUCGAGGCUCAACCUCGAGACGUCGGUGGAAACCGUUUGGCUAGAGUCCGGAAGAGGAGAGUGGAAUUCCCGGUGUAGCGGUGAAAUGCGCAGAUAUCGGGAAGAACACCCGUGGCGAAGGCGGCUCUCUGGAACGGUACUGACGCUGAGACGCGAAAGCUAGGGGAGCAAACAGGG